rnacentral:lncRNA from 1 species
CAAAGCCCAGUACCAAGGCACGGGAGAGGAUGCUGGACAGAUGAAACAAAGAUGUCUGCAACCCUGCCUUCUCUUUCGAGGCUCUGCAGGAAGUCUAGAUUCAGAAGGGAACCAUCAGGACCCCAUGGAGUGGGCUGCGGCUUGGAGACACAGAUAGUGGUGCAGACCACCACAGCCAGGCGCAACAAGAAAGACUUCAAUGCUAGCAUCAUAAUCUACAGAGGACAAACGCAAGAGAGAAAGCCUACACCUGCCCAGAGGACAUGGCCCUGGGUUUCCACUCAGAGCUGAUGUUCAACUGGCACACAGUAUUUCAGCUGUGCUACUUGGUAAAUAUUGCAACAUCUCAAAGCAUUACAGGAGAAAUUGUGACUUUGAAAUGAACCAAGAAGGUUACAGUUGUCUUCAAAGGAAAAAGAGUCAGUCUAGCAUGCCAUUCCAGAUGUGACUCUAUGGUGUAUCCUGUGCCUUUCUUGACUUUAAGCUAUUUUACAACUCUGUAAGUUGUGCAUAACUGAUAGCAAUGCAAAUAAUAGUAACAUUUGUCUAUAAACAUGCAAAUAAAUUUUAUCCUGUGAAAG